UCGGCCUCGCUCUGGUUCAGGCAGCUGCUAUAUAGUCGUCUGUAAGAUACAGUCCGUCCUUUUUCCCUGCGGAGAAUGGGAGGUGCUGGUUCAAGUGGCGGGAACUAUGGAAAUAAACUUCAUGGUGAUAUCCUGGAAGUUGUGCAGAAUAAUUAAGCCCUUCAUGAGAACAUCAACAGUUCUAGAAGACUAUAUGAUGUACAAUUGUGGAUGUUCCUGAAUAUUUAAGACAGAAUGUGACUUAUUAGCAAGUAUCCAGUGGAUAAUGAAUCAGUGAAUGACUAACUGACAGCGCAGUUGGGAUAUAAAACUACUUGUGACUCUAGUACUACUAAAACAGAGAUCGCUGAAGGCUGACUCAAUAUUAAAGUGAAAUGGUGGAAAAUUUAGGAGCAGAUGCAUUUAGUUAUUCAGUGAUGAGGUGGAAUUUUUUGUUUUCAUCACCUGACAAGUGUGGGGAGUAUCACUGGAAGAAGUCUGACACCUGAAGAUACCAAGAUUUUAACAACAAAAAAUGUUAUCAGGUUUAUGCUUCUGAAAUAGUUUGUGGAGUUUGGUAGUUAAUAUUUCUGAAACUUCACAUGGUCCAGAAUCAGUUGGUCUCUGCUUCCUUUAAAACAGUGAGCAAUCAUGUUCUGUAGAAAUCUGAAGAUCUUGCCAAAAUUGAAGACCCAGCUCCCUCUAGUGAAACCAAAGCUGUCUUAUAAUAGGGAAACUGCAUGUGGGAUCAAAGAAGAGAGAAUUCAGUUUUGCUAAAAUCAGUCUGAAAACAGAAGAUGUUAAAUCUGACAUGAUUUCUCUCAGAUUAUGGUGGCUUAAGGGAAAUAGAACAUAAAAUCUAGUUUUUCCCCACUGUUUAUCAGGAGAGGCGCCUCUACUCAGUAAACAAAAUAUUACGGGCAACAAACAGUAAGCUUCAGGGGGAAAACUUAAAGUGGCUAGCCAGUUUCCUGUGAAGGAAAUAAAAGCACAAUAAAGAAAUAAAGCACGCUUUGAUACUACUGAGGAAAAAGGUAUUCCCUGAACAGUAAUAAAAUGGGCAAUGGAAAAUCCAGGCACCUUCUGUGGAAAGAUGGUGAGAGCACCAAUUAAUGUAGAAAAUCAUCAUAAUGAGGCUUCUCCCUCAGAGCAAUUUCAUUCAGGAAGUGAAAGAGGAAGAUCAGGUGGUGGUAUUAAUCAGUGAAGCCACUGAGGAAGCAAAAAUCAGAUAUUUGUAAGAAAGCAAAAUUCAGCACUCAUCGUAGGAGUUGUGGUCACAAGAGAACUAGGCUUAAACCACAGCCAGGGUUCUGUUUAUGCUGGUGGGGAAAGAAGUAGGUUUUUAUGCACUGCUGCCCAACUGCAUGAAAAGACCAAAGCAUUGGUGUGGAACUUUUUUCUGUUGAGCAUAAAGAUGCUAGCAAUGCAUGGUUUUUUUUGUGGAAGAGGACCACUCAGGAAUUUCUAUUUUAAGAAACGUCUUGAAAAAUAACCAUGCCAUAAUGUGGGAGAAACAUCUCUGCAUUCAGCAACUAAGCACUAACGCAGUAGGGAAAGAGGUAGAGGAGGCAGGUCAUAACAUCUGAUAAAUUGCAGUCCACAAAUACGCCAAUCAGUGGCAUACUAUCCAGUAUGCUUUUUAGUGUUAGGAAGGGAAGCAGAUACACAGGCAAACUACCCAUUGACUGACAUACUUUGAUAUGUCUUUCAGAGUAGGUUAAGAAAAAUCAUCCUGUAAUCUCCAUGCUUAAUACAAAACUGGCAACAAUGCUAGCAGUGGGUCUGCAGCCCUUUUAUUGGGCAGGGCAGAGGGCUUUCAGGCACUAAGGGAAUACCCCAUUCCCAAGUGUCAAAUACCUAGCCAAAAAGUAGGUUAUGCUAAGACAAUACCGUAGUUGAACAAAUCUCCAUGUUGCAGUGUCCAAGGCAUUGAGGCUGUCAAAGGUGAGGAAGAUCAAUCAGCUCACUGAAAUGUGGAGCAGUGGUUAGACCAUGGACUGUGUGUAUCAGCUCACUGGGUAUCUCUUCCUCUAGUUACCUGUGGUAGCAGAUAGCCAGAUACUUUGCCACAUCCUACAGCUCAACAUUGGGUAACAUGUAACACCGUGUUUGAAGUUUUGAAAAAAACCCUACAAUUCAUUGUGUAUUGGAGAAACUGCAGAAUGGCUUUCUCUUUGCUCACUUUUAGGAGCAUUUAUUACCAGUCUUGUCUUAGAUUUAUGUGCCAUUAAGUAAGGGCGAUACUUCAAUCUGCCAUGCUUUGUACACAUUCUUGAUGCAGUAGUUCAUUCUUUUCUGAACAAAGAUGAGGAUGUGAAGUGCUUUCAUGUGCAUGUCAAGUCUGCAGUCAUUCAGUUUUCAGCCAUUCCUUUACAGCUGCUUAUACUUUACAAGAACUGCAAAGGCAAAAUAGCCUGCCACUGCACCAACUCAAACACUAUGGCCCAGACAAAUGGAGUUCCACUCUCUGUGCUUGAGCAAUUACUGACUAUGUAGUGCUUCAGAAGUGUGAAGGAAGCAAUCUGUUUUUAACUCUUCCACAGUGGAGCUUUAAGAAAAGUCUAUGUAGUAUGUGGAAACCUUUUGAUGAAGCUUUCAAAGGGCGAGCUAAAAAGAUGCUAGUCUUACCCAAGUCAUUCUGCUCAUUUGCCUCCUGGAGGGAAAAAAAUGUGCUGCCUGUGAGAAGUGGAUGAUAUUACAGCAAUCUGUUUGGUAAAUAGUAGGUUAGCCAUUCUGAAAAAAGACUUUAUAUAAUUUAUAUUAGGAUGUAUGAGGAGUGCAUUCUUGCCAGAUGGGAUUGCUAAAUAUUUUUGGGAUCCCCUAGUACUUCCCAUGUAUCACAUUCCAAAAUGUUGCUCUGGGAUUUGCUCCUUGAUCUAGGUUUGAUGAAAGUAACAGAAAGGGGUAUUAUGCCAGAAGAUCCUGCUAUCUCUGCUUAUGGAAUGGUGGAGGCCGAUCUCCAGGAGGAAUUAAAUGUAAAUCAUGGCAAGUUUUUAAUUCACAACAAGAAAAUUCAGUCACAUGAUUUUGUAAAGUUACUGUUUAAAAAGUCAUGCAUCUUGUUAAAGUUCAGUUGCUUUAUAAAUGAAGCAUUAAAACACUGCAUGCAUCAGGCAGAACUUUAUGUUGACAGUCUGUACCAAUAUUCAUUGGAUCUGAAUGUUGAGGUUGUUGCAAGCCAGUAACUGAAGUUAAAGCUAGAUUAGUUAGUUUUAUUGUACCUUGGCCUUUAAUACAUGUGAGAAUAAACCAUGUGCCUUUAGCGCUGUUUUUCUUACAUUGCCUGAGAACCAAGUUUGAUUUAAGGAUAUUAAAUUUCUGAUUUCUUAACGUGAUAAUGGGAUAACUUUUUCUGUCUUGGUAGCUGCUGUCAUUAAAAAUAGUUAGACCCUGUGUGCAAUCCUUUGUGCAACUGAACUUAAACUGGUAAAAAUGAGAAUGGGAGCUAUCAAAUACUGUAUGCUAAUCAGCUCCUUCCCUAAGCUAGGCCAUGGAAGAUGCUGAUUAAGGAUUGUGCUCUAUGGACAAAAAUGCCUCUCCUGGUGUCAAAACAUGUGCAUGUGUGAAUACAGAGAGCAACAAAAUAACACCACAAAUAAAGAACAACUGAUAUUUCUUCAA